UAAUAAUUUAAAGUCUGGCCUGCCCACUGAUGAAUUAUUAAAGGGCCGCGGUAAUUUGACCGUGCAAAGGUAGCAUAAUCAAUAGUUUUUUAAUUAAAAGCUGGAAUGAAUGGUUGAAUAAGAAAAAUACUGUCUCAAGUUAAUUUAAUUAGAAUUUUAUUUUUAAGUUAAAAAGCUUAAAUUUAAUUAAAAGACGAGAAGACCCUAUAGAGUUUUAUAUUUAAAUAAAUUUAUUUAUUUAGAAUUAUUAAAGUAAAUUUAAAUAAAGUAUUUGAUUGGGGUGAUUAAAAAAUUAAAUAAACUUUUUUUUUAUUUAAACAUUAAUGAAUGAAUAUUUGAUCCAUUAAUUAUGAUUAUAAGAUUAAAUUACCUUAGGGAUAACAGCGUAAUUUUUUUUUAGAGUUCUUAUCAAAAGAAAAGAUUGCGACCUCGAUGUUGGAUUAAAAUUAAUAUUUGGUGAAGAAGCUAAAUUAUUAGGUCUGUUCGACCUUUAAAAUUUUACAUGAUCUGAGUUUAAACCGGUGUAAGCCAGGUUGGUUUCUAUCUUUAAUAAAAUAUUAUAUUUUAGUACGAAAGGACCAAAUAUAAAAUUAAUAAUUUAAAAUUUGAAUAUUAGUAUUAUUUUGGCAGAGUAGUGCAAUAGAUUUAGAAUCUUUAUAUGUAAUUUUACAAAUAAUACUUGUUUUUAAUUGAAUAUUUAUUAUUUUUUUUAUCGUUUUUAAUUUUAGUUAUUAUAGUUUUAGUAGGAGUAGCAUUUUUGACUUUAUUGGAACGUAAAGUUUU
rnacentral:rRNA from 1 species